UACGUAGGGUGCAAGCGUUAUCCGGAAUUAUUGGGCGUAAAGAGCUCGUAGGCGGUUUGUCACGUCUGCUGUGAAAACUGGAGGCUCAACCUCCAGCCUGCAGUGGGUACGGGCAGACUAGAGUGCGGUAGGGGAGAUUGGAAUUCCUGGUGUAGCGGUGGAAUGCGCAGAUAUCAGGAGGAACACCGAUGGCGAAGGCAGAUCUCUGGGCUGACACUGACGCUCAUGCACGAAAGCGUGGGGAGCAAACGAGGAUAGAA
rnacentral:rRNA from 1 species